rnacentral:rRNA from 1 species
GACGAACGCUGGCGGCGUGCUUAACACAUGCAAGUCGAACGGAAAGGCCCUGCUUUUGUGGGGUGCUCGAGUGGCGAACGGGUGAGUAACACGUGAGUAACCUGCCCUUGACUUUGGGAUAACUUCAGGAAACUGGGGCUAAUACCGGAUAGGAGCUCCUGCUGCAUGGUGGGGGUUGGAAAGUUUCGGCGGUUGGGGAUGGACUCGCGGCUUAUCAGCUUGUUGGUGGGGUAGUGGCUUACCAAGGCUUUGACGGGUAGCCGGCCUGAGAGGGUGACCGGCCACAUUGGGACUGAGAUACGGCCCAGACUCCUACGGGGGGCAGCAGUGGGGAAUAUUGCACAAUGGGCGGAAGCCUGAUGCAGCAACGCCGCGUGCGGGAUGACGGCCUUCGGGUUGUAAACCGCUUUCGCCUGUGACGAAGCGUGAGUGACGGUAAUGGGUAAAGAAGCACCGGCUAACUAC